UAAAACUUAGCCUUCAAUCAUCCAAAACUCCUUUGUUUAUCUUGUUUACUUCAAUUCCAAGCUUCCCAACAAACCACCACCAUGCCAUUUUCUUCAAGCCAUGAUUUCCUCAUUCAAAACUUGUUACAUCAAAAAGAAGCAUGAUCAAUUAAAACUAUUUCAAAGUGCAAUGUAAAAAUCAUGCAAUACCUACAACACAAACAAAGAAA
rnacentral:lncRNA from 1 species